GGAUAACCGUAGUAAUUCUAGAGCUAAUACAUGAUAAAAUCCUCGACUUUGAAGAGGUGUAUUUAUUAGAAUGAAACCAAUAGACUUCGGUCUGUUUGUGAGUAAUAAUAACUAAUCGUAUCGCAUGCUUAGGUAGCGAUAUGUCUUUCAAGUUUCUGCCCUAUCAGCUUUGGAUGGUAGUGUAUUGGACUACCAUGGCAGUAACGGGUAACGAAAAAUUUGGGUUCGAUUUCGGAGAGGGAGCCUGAGAGAUGGCUACCACUCCCAAGGAAGGCAGCAGGCGCGUAAAUUACCCAAUCCUGACUUAAGGAGGUAUUGACAAUAAAUCACAAUGCG
rnacentral:rRNA from 1 species